UUCAAAAUUGCUUUUGAUACAAUGGGGAAAGGAUUCCCUAACUAACAAACAGUGCUGGGAGAACAGGCUAGCCAUAUGGAGAAAACUGAAACUGGACCUUUUCCUUACACCAUAUACAAAAAUUAAGCAGAGAUGGAUUAAAGACUUAAAUGUAAAACCCAAAGCUAUAACAACCCUAGAAGAAGAUAUAGGCAAUACCAUUCAGGACAUAGGUAUAAGCAAAGGUUUUAUGAUGAAAUCACUAAAGCAAUUGCAACAAAAGCGAAAACUGACAAAUGGGAUUUAAUUAAAUGAAAGAGCUUCUGCACAGCAAAAGAAGCUAUCAUCAGAAUGAACAGACAACCUACAGAAUGGGAGGAAAUGUUUGCAAUAUGCAUCCAACAGAGGUAUAAUAACAAGCAUUUAUAUGGAACUUAAACAAAUUUAUGAGAAAAAAUAUCAACCCCAU